AAAAAUCCGUCUCUUGGUGGAUUCAAUUUGGGUUUCUUUAUAGUAUCAUCAUAUGGGCCUAUCUUUUCUAGCAUGGAUGAAAACCUUUUGUUUGAGCCUUGCUUAUGGGCUACCAGGAUCUCGUCGGAGAGAAAUCAGCUGCCAUUGGGCAUAGGGUCCAGAAAUUACCACAUGCCGAGCUCUCAGGUGACGGAGCAAUAAUUCGUGGCUCAGUAUUGCCGAGCAAUUCAGAUAAGAGAGGACUGAAUCUAUUGGUUGGUUGAUGCUGUUUUCGGAUGACUUUUUUUGUUUUCCCAAAAGAACUAGCCGGAAGAAUCUUCUUGUUGAGAUGCAGAAUGAAUAUUCAAGUUAGUAGCAUCAGUACCGUAACAAGAAUUCAACAAAAGGCAUCAUCAUCAUCAUCAUCAUCAUCUCGGAAACCACCUUUCUUUUCCAGUAGAGAGUCUCAAGAACCCAAACAAAAUGGUGACACAAAUGGAUGAUGACGCUGUAGGAUGGAGGACUGGGGAGGGGUUGACGACCUCCAAAUACAGCAUAAUUUCAAUGUUUUUUACAUGCCAGCCAGCUUUCAAAACAUGCAGCUGAGGCAAUGUCCUCAUCAUCUUAAUUGCACUGUCCCAUGUGGAAAUGAAAAUCUAACGUCACCACAGGCUGCUGGGUUCAUUCGCUCUGAUCGUGAAGCAGAAUACAGGAAAAAAGGAAGCAGGAAUUGCCUACCCACUUUCCCCAAAAUAAGGAAAGAUUUAUUGCUUACUGCUGACGAUAACAUUCGACAUAUACUUAUUGUCUAGUCGUCUACUUAUCUUUCCUAUAUCCUUCUAUUCAUCAAACUUAUGGCUUCGCCCAAGAUUGACACUGCUAAAGUUGACAUGAGAGAGUGGCUUCUCUAAAUGACGAAUGCACUAAUUUGUUCACCAGGCCUUGCUGACUGGGAGUAUACAACUGAUAUGCUCUGUUCUUUUCAGGUAUUAUCGCCAAACAUUUCAACAGCGAAACCCUUAAACCACCUCAGUUGGAAUUUACUCCUACAAAGCUUAGCGCAUCAUUUAUUUGGAGAGUCAUGAAGAUAGUCUUAACUAGCUAGAUUAGAAUCAAUUCAUACAGAGCUCUAGCUUUUUGUAAGGUCUGUAGCCUUGAUAAUGAGCGCUUGGUCUAGUGACAUACCUUAAAGUUACUUAUCUCGCUUCAAGCGCGCCCGUCAUCAAUCGGUUAGCAAUGUGAAUAAGAGCAAUGUAUAGGCAAAGGAAGGAGAGAUAAGAAAGCAAGCUCGCAUGAGGGAAAGACAGUAAAAUCCUAGCAAAGCAAAACCUACAAAUUGAUGAACUUUUCUUCUUGGGUAUAGUUCUUUUGGAUUGGUAGGCUCCAUAAUCCGUAGGAGGAUAAAUGCAAGGUCGAAUCAUGGCUUUCUUUUCACUUUGGGUAUGUGUCAUUGAUGGAUAUGUAUGGAGCGAAUGAGAGUUAAAUCAGGCAUGCCUAAACAGCGGCAAAACUUCUGCUCCAACUCAUCCUUGAAUAUUAUACAGUUUUUUAUGUGAUGCAAA